rnacentral:rRNA from 1 species
GACGAACGCUGGCGGCGUGCUUAACACAUGCAAGUCGAACGAAGUGGCGAACGGGUGAGUAACGCGUAAUCAACCUGCCCUUCAGAGGGGGACAACAGUUGGAAACGACUGCUAAUACCGCAUACUGAAGGAGGGGAUUGCGUCGGAUUAGCUCGUUGGAGGGGUAACGGCUCACCAAGGCGAUGAUCAGGAGCCGGUCUGAGAGGAUGAACGGCGACAUUGGGACUGAGACACGGCCCAGACUCCUACGGGAGGCAGCAGGGGGGAAUCUUCCGAAAUGGACGAAAGUCUGACGAAGCAACGCCGGGGGAGUGAUGACGGCCUUCGGGGUGUAAAGCUCUGUUAAUCGGGACGCGGUACCGGAAUAGAAAGCCACGGCUAACUACGUGCCAGCAGCCGCGGUAAUUC